AUGUUUCUUAAGAGAUGCUUGCAAAGGUCAAUUGUUCAAUUGAGUGAACUAAGAGACAAAUUAACAUCAUUCAUUUUAGCACUAAUAUUAUUCUAAUUUUCAGAAGAAUUUCUCUAAAGACUAUAAGUGCUAAGAAAAAUUUAAAUGAAUCAAAUAGAAAUAUUUUUUUCUACAUUAUGAAGUGUACAAACAAUAUUCUGAUUUCUUACAUAAAAAUGAGAAAAAAUACUGACGAAAUUCUAAAAUUUGUUUUUGUUAUGAUCCUCUUUUGCCAAUUAUUUAUUUUUGUAACUGUUAGUGGUGAAUCAUAUAAAGUGUGUGAGUAUAGCCGUGAUUGUUAUAAAGAUUAUCUUUGUAAUUCUUCUAGCGUUCGGAGGUGCAUUGGUUAUCGAUGUUUCUGCAUAUACCGGAUUUGAAGCAUGUAAGAGCACUUGCUUGGCUAUGAAGGGCUAUGCAUAAUGAGGACUUGGAUGCUUUCUAAACCAAAAGCUUUGGAUAGGUUUUAGCAACAUAGUUUAAAAUAUGUUUCUUAGCUUUUUACCUAAAAAAAUAGAUUAUACAGCAUUUUUUAGU